ACGCUCGACACCUACGGGGGCAGCAGUGGGGAAUAUUGCACAAUGGGGGGAAACCCUGAUGCAGCGACGCCGCGUGAGCGAAGAAGUAUUUCGGUAUGUAAAGCUCUAUCAGCAGGGAAGAAACUGACGGUACCUGACUAAGAAGCACCGGCUAAAUACGUGCCGGCAGCCGCGGUAAUCUGAGCGGGCUGGCAAGGC
rnacentral:rRNA from 1 species